UAGUUAAAAUACAUAAAAUAUAUAAACAUCCAUAUACAAACCUUUAAAAAAUACAUAAAUACAUCCAAAUACAUAUAAAUACGUAGUACAUAAAUACAUAAACACAUAAUCCGGCCAACCAAUGAAUGUCAACGGACACUAGGGUUUCUGAGUUUUAAUUUUUAAUUUUUUUGAGAUUUGUUUUCUUAAAAAAUUGGUGUUUUUCAUAGAGAUUCGUAUGGGUUUUAAAAUUUUUAUAUUUGGAUUUGAUUUGAAGAUUUGAAUUUAUAUCUUUGUAGAUUUUCCUUGCAAUCCCCUUUAAGGUUCCGCCACUGGAUCCCUUCUUUCUUCUUUCUUUCUGAUUAUCUAAGAAAUAAAAGCUGUAAUUUUUUGUUUCUUUAUUCAAAGUUGUUCAUGAAUUGAGGUUUGGAUUCAAUUGUAGUAUCGUAUUAUUUUUAACCUGGUAGUCACUUUACUUUUGUGAAUUAGGUCAGCAAUGAGGCUCUUAGAUAGAACGACAUUGUCAAGCUUGCACAUAGAAAGGCUCUUAAAUAUAUCAAAUGCAAAGUCCGAAGAACCAAAAACGUACAAAUAUACUUGUCACUGAUAAAUGAAAGACUGGUAAUAUCACCUGUUUCUUCAACUUUCUUGAGGGUCAACCUAAACAAACAGGCUUAAAAGAAUUGCUUCAGCAUCCCGAUUUUCAACCACCAAAAUGUCUAAUAAAAAACAAAUAGGUACAUGUUCCUUCUUCCUUAUUUUCAGCUUUUUGAACACCGUGUUAAAUUACAUGCUCCAUAAAAGUAGGAUGCUAUUUUUUGCUUUCUAAAUGCUAAGCAGGAAAUAGCAUCAUACUGUUAUACCUCUGAUAUUAGGCAAAUAAGUUAGUUAGGGGUAAUAUGGGAAAUCAACAAGUUAAAGAGUGUCUUAUUAAUGGGAGGGGCAUUUUAGGCAUUUUAUAGUAUUUAGUUGUUAUGUCAGAUGGUAUAAGAAGAGGGUAGUGAGCACGGAGUAAGGAUCUAUCUUUUGCGUGAAAAUUGGAAUUCAUUCUUAUUAGGAGAUUGGCUAUCUCGAAUCAGCUAAACUAUCUCCAUUCUUGUAAUCAUUUGGUAUUAUCACAUGUUUUUCAAUCAAUAUUAGAAUCCUCGAUUGUUUAUGUGUUAUUGAAUCGGUUCUUAAAAUCUAGUUCAUAACAAUCGGUAUUAGAGCAAUAGAUCCAAGAGCUGUUCAGAGCGUAGAUAUGGCAGAAGAAGGAUUCAAAGAAGUGUGUGUUGAACUACAACAACAGAUUCAAAUUCAAGGGUCACUCUUCACAAAGAAAAUGGAAGAGAUGACUACAGGGAAUAAAGAGUUGUUCUCUACAUUUGGAAAGGAUAAAGGAGUCGGGCAAGGAAGCAGAUACACAAUGCCGCCACCACGUGGAUACCACAGAGGAACCAACUGGAGAAUCAAGAAGCUGGAGAUACCACUAUUUUAUGGAAAUAGUUCCAAUGGUUGGGUUCUUGAGGCAGAGAGACAAUUUGUAGAUUAUCAAUUAUCAGAACAAGAAAAACUGGAGGUUGCAGUGGCUGCACUAGAGGGCUUCGUUGCUCGCUGGUGUGACGAAGAACACCAUCGUCGACCAAUUAGAGAUUGGGAAGAACUAAAAUCUCUAAUCAUCCGAUGAUUCAGAUCCUUAAUAUUCGCAGCAAAGCCAUGGUGGUCGGUCUCCCAUGGCGGAAGGCAGUCGGAGCACCAAUAGGUAUCAGGGAGAUAAUAGAUCCGUCAAAUGAUGGACGGGAGAAUAAACGGGAAGAAACAUUUUUAAGGUUUUGUCAAAAUAGGCUUAAAAGCGACAAUUGGGCCGAAAUCAAAUCGUUGGGUCAACAAAAAUUAAAUCAAACCAUUAACUUUGACAUUUCCAUUAAGAUCGAUCAAAUGAAUAGCCCAAGAGAAAUUAAAGCAUCGAUAACAAAUUUAGCCUCACCUUCGGAGGUGAUUUCACCAAUUCUCACGUACACAUCAACCCCACCCUUGUCAAUUUCACCGUUUCCUACCGAGGAGCUACAAGAUGGUGAUCUAUCUCUAAGAGAAAAAAACGAAAUAGCAGGAACAAAAUGUCAUCGUGCUAAACUUCAAGGUUCAAAGAAAGACAAAGAGAUUGGGAAAAGUCAUGUUGCUUUUCCUUUGAGUUUACAUGGCAAUAUUAAUGAAGGAGAAGAUGUUAAUACAAUUGAUGAAAAUGUUGAUCAGAAAGAACAUAAGUCUCAACAUGAAGGUAACAAUAGUACGAUAUCAAGUCCAUUGGCACCAUUGAUGGAAGUGGUGUCAGGUGAAUGUGUUUAUGUUUGUGCAAUGUGGAUUAAAGCUCUGACAUGGAUGCAAAACCCACAAGCUAGUUUUCUUAAACUAUCUAAUCUUGUUUGGUCAACUGCUUGGUUGAAUAUUUUUCUCUAACCAGGUAGGUUCGUUCCAAGGCUACUCCUGAUGUAGCUAUUACACUACAAGAAACUGCGAGAGUAAUUGCUACUAAAGUCCUUGAAAAAUUGAUGCAGAUGUACAUGAUGGUAGUUUGUGGUUGUUACGUGAUGGUUGUAUUAGGUUUUACAAAGAAGAAAAUUUUGAAGGAGUUGGGAAAGUGCUCGAAAUGAUGAAGAAGCAUGAAGUUCCUAUAACCCUUGGAAUGUACAAUAUAUUAAUUCAAAUCUUGUGUAAGCUUAAAAAGACCAUUGUAGCUAGAGCGUUACUCAAUGGGCUUAUCUCAAUAAAUGUGAAGCCUAAUUCAAUUACUUACAAUCCUUUGAUUCAUGGAUAUUGCAAUGAGGGGAAGUUAGUUAUUCUAAAGAGAUCUAUGUUUGAUCCUUUUGACACAUGCAAAAAGAUGAACAAUAUCAAGUCGUACGUGAGAAGGGUGUUUGUUUAUUAUGAAUGAUUGCACCGAGUUGAUGCAGAAAUAUCUUGGUCCCUUGGGGAAUGUUGUGGAUUCCUAUGAAUUACCAGUCAACAAUUCCCAUGAAAGGCUAGACCGGAACAAGAUUCUACAAGUUAUCAGGAUGAAACACAUUGAGAAAUACAUUGAAAUGUUCAUAAAGAAUUGAUGUGUGAAUAGAUGGAAACGAACCUGUGAAGUUGGAAUUCAGAUACAGCUUCAAUAAUUUGCGGACUGAAUAAUAGAGAAAGAGAAACUCGUCAACAUAUUUGUUAAACUUCACUAAUUUGUGGAUUGAAUAAUAGAGAAGGAGAAACUCGUCAACAUAUUUGUUAAAUUGAAACGUGAUUUUAAUGUGGAGUUCAGAAUUUGCGAUUUGAUGUAAACGAACCUAUGAAAUUGAAAAUCAGAGACAACUUCACUAAUAUGUGGACUGAAGAAGGAGAAAUUCGUCAUCAUAAUUAAUAAUCAUUAAAUUGAAAUGUGAUUGUAAUGUGGAGUUUAAAAUUUGCGAAUUGAUGUAAACGAAAAAAAUCAAAGACUGCUUCACUAAUAUGUGGAUUGAAUGAUAGAGAAGCAAAAGUUAGUCAUCAUUGAAACAUGAGUGCAAUGUGGAAUUCAAAAUUGACAAAGUGAGAGAUAGGCAGGAAACAAACAACUCAACGAACGAAUUAGGUCAAAAUUGCAAAUUUAUUGUUUACCUCUCAAUCAUUUUUUUAAUAAAUAAAAUAAAAGAGCAUAAAGGGAAAAAUUGAGCGUAUCCUGGGAGGGAUUUUAAGAAUUUUGCGCGUGUGCUUGCGA